rnacentral:sRNA from 1 species
GUGGAGGGUGCGCUUGGCGGCGGCGGCGGGAGCUGCGGAGUCGGGAAUCAAAACAAAGGGCCUGGGGGGGGCGGGGGGAAGGCGGCGGGGCCGGAAUGUGAGCGGAGGUGGAGCCGGCGGCAGAGGGUGGAAGAAUGAAAGAAAAGAAAGAUGAAAGGAUGUUGAAUCACUUUGCAUGGCUGUAUGAUGGAAGGAAACGGAACUGAGAACUCCUGCAGUAGAACACGUGGAUGGCUUCAACAAGAUAAUGAUGCUAAGCCAUGGCUUUGGAAAUUCUCUAAUUGCUUUUCUCGUCCUGAGCAGACGCUGCCACAUAGUCCCCAAACGAAAGAGUACAUGGAGAACAAGAAAGUUGCUGUGGAACUAAAGGAUGUACCAUCACCCCUUCAUGCUGGCUCUAAGCUUUUUCCAGCAGUCCCACUUCCUGAUAUUCGUUCUCUUCAGCAGCCUAAAAUACAGCUUUCUACUGUCCCCAAAGUAAGCUGCUGUGCUCAUUGCCCUAAUGAACCCUCCACUUCGCCAAUGCGUUUUGGUGGUGGUGGUGGCGGUAGCGGAGGUACCAGUAGCUUGAUUCACCCGGGCGCACUGUUAGACUCGCAAAGCACCAGGACAAUCACGUGUCAGGUAGGGUCAGGGUUUGCUUUCCAGUCUGCAUCUUCACUCCAGAAUGCCUCAGCUAGGAACAAUUUGGCAGGCAUUGCAAGUGACUUUCCCAGCAUGUGUCUAGAGAGUAACCUGUCUUCCUGCAAACACCUGCCCUGUUGUGGAAAACUCCACUUCCAGUCAUGUCAUGGUAAUGUGCACAAGCUGCAUCAGUUUCCGAGUCUGCAGGGCUGCACCUCCGCUGGCUAUUUCCCCUGUUCUGAUUUCACAAGCGGGGCUCCAGGGCAUUUGGAAGAGCACAUUUCACAGUCGGAGCUAACGCCUCACUUGUGCACCAACUCUUUGCACCUUAAUGUGGUACCUCCGGUUUGUUUAAAGGGCUCACUUUACUGCGAAGACUGUCUAAACAAGGUUCGUAUCUUUUUAUUUCUUAAGUUGGGUGCAGCUGAGGAUUGAGGAAUGACUUUUUUGAAGUGGAUUUAUCUUGAAAAGUAUUAUACAUGGGGUUGAAGAUUCUCCCAUGGUAUAGGGGAAUCUCCCCAUCAGCAUAAUUUUUGCUGGUUCUGAAAGAAACAAAGGGUAAGAUGGGAGAUCAUUCAAAAAAGUAGAGAGUCAUUAUUUUUGUAGUUUAUACUUUUAGAGCCUCUUGUUGCAAACAAGAGGUUGGCAAAGCCUUCGUGUUCUAUGUUUAAAGGCUAAAGCACGAUGGAUUUCUUAUAACUUACAUUCAACUUAUACAUGGGUCCAUUCAUGUAAGGUAGAUAACUGCAUGUUGUCUUUUUGCAAUAAUGUGGGAAACCUGAAGCUUGGCCUCAGUCACAUUGGUGUUCAAGUGAGACUUUGCUACCCUUUAUGUAAAAUAUGUGUGAGGUCUUCGUUGCAGCAGACUCAUGCCCCAGAAUGUAAAGAUCUGACCACGUGAAUAUCUUUCUUGAUCAUGUCAAGUCACUUCUGGAAAUGAAUUUAUGAACUGAUAGCUAAUGGUUCUUGGAAAGAUUAUUUGAAAGUCCUUUUUAUUAGAGGCUAGCAAGUGGAAAGGUAAAACACUUAGAGUGUAUUUUCAGUUGUUGUAUAUAACUCCAGCUUCUGAAAUGAUGUAUCUGACACCUCCUCCUUUUUAAAAAAAAUUUAAAACAGCCAGCAAGAAAUAGCAUAAUCGAUGCGGCUAAAGUCUGGCCAAAUAUACCACCUCCAAAUACUCAACCUGCACCUCUUGCUGUCCCUCUGUGUAAUGGCUGUGGAACCAAAGGAACAGGGAAGGAGACCACGUUGUUAUUGGCGACCAGUCUAGGCAAAGCUGCUUCAAAAUUUGGGUCACCAGAAGUUGCAGUAGCUGGACAGGUGCUAGAAAACUUACCCCCCAUUGGAGUUUUUUGGGAUAUUGAAAACUGCUCCGUUCCCUCUGGCCGGUCAGCAACUGCUGUUGUGCAAAGAAUCCGUGAGAAGUUUUUUAAAGGCCACAGAGAAGCAGAAUUCAUCUGUGUAUGUGACAUCAGUAAAGAAAACAAGGAAGUUAUUCAAGAGCUGAAUAAUUGCCAGGUAACCGUUGCCCACAUCAAUGCUACUGCAAAGAAUGCCGCUGAUGAUAAACUGCGGCAGAGUCUCCGCAGAUUUGCAAAUACACACACUGCUCCAGCCACAGUGGUUCUUGUGUCAACUGAUGUCAAUUUUGCAUUGGAACUUAGUGACCUGAGACACAGGCAUGGUUUCCACAUUAUUUUGGUCCAUAAAAACCAGGCCUCAGAAGCACUGCUGCAUCAUGCUAACGAGCUGAUCAGAUUUGAAGAGUUCAUUUCCGACUUGCCCCCCAGGUUACCACUAAAAAUGCCAGUAAGUGGGUUUGCGUUAUUUUUGCCAUUUUCCAAUAUUACAUUGUGGAGGCUGAAAGACAGCCCAUAAUAAGGGGGUUGCCAGGCCCAGAUGGGGCU